rnacentral:lncRNA from 1 species
UUAACAUAAAUUUUUAUUUUUAUUUUUAUUUAUUUAUUUAAUUUUUGAUUUUGUAAAAAAUAAAAAAUAUGUAGUUGGUAAUAUAAGCAAAAAUGAACACGACACAAAAUAUUGCCUUCUUAUGUAAUAGUACAUAAACAUAUUUUUUUUCAUAUUUUUUACACAUCUCGGUUAAGGUUAAUUACAUUUCCUGAUUAAUGCAAUUGAUGUGAUGCAUAUUUUAUAUGAAAUUACCUGUUACCAAAAUAAUAUGUGUGAUACUUAUUAGAAAAGACAUAAUAUUUUUGUUUUCCUUUUUUUUUUUUUUNNNNNNNNNNNNNNNNNNNNNNNNNCUUUUACCCCAUAUACACCCAUCAUAUGCUGGUCCCACAUGUCGGUUUAACAGAAAUUUUUAUUUUUAUUUUUUUAUUUAAUUUUUGGUUUUGCAAAAAUAAAAAUGUGUAGUUGGUAAUAUAAGCAAAAAUAAACACGGCACAAAAUAUUGCUUUUUUAUGUAAUAGUAUAUAAACAAAUUUUUUUCCCUUUUUUUUACACAUCCCGGUUAAUGUUAAUUACAUUUUCUGAUUAAUGCAAUUGACGUGAUGCAUAUUCCAUAUGAAAUUAUCUGUUAUCAAAAUAAUAUGUGUGAUACUUAUUAGAAAAGACAUAAUGUUUUUCUUUUUUUUUUUCCAC